CCCUUAGAUGUUCUGGGCUGCACGCGCGCUACACUGAUGCACUCAACGAGUUUACGACCUUGCCCGAUAGGGUUGGGUAAUCUUUUUAAAAUGCUUCGUGAUGGGGAUAGAUUAUUGCAAUUAUUAAUCUUCAACGAGGAAUUCCUAGUAAGCGCGAGUCAUCAGCUCGUGCUGAUUACGUCCCUGCCCUUUGUACACACCGCCCGUCGCUCCUACCGAUUGAGUGCUCAGGUGAAUAAUUCGGACUGCAGCAAUGUUUGGAUCCCGAACGUUGCAGCGGAAAGUUUAGUGAACCUUAUCACUUAGAGGAAGGAGAAGUCGUAACA
rnacentral:rRNA from 1 species